CAGGUUUCUAACCUUUUUUUUUUUUUUCUUUUUUUUCCCCAAAAGGCUGUUUCAGUUGCUCACAUUUGUCUUAAUUUCUAAUCUCUUCAAACCUGCAGACCAAGCGCAAAGAAAAUAAUUUUCAUUUUUAGCUCAGGGACAAGCUGUGCAGGUGAAGAGAAUUCAUCCAGAGAACGCAAACCUGGAGUGAUGGGUCUCAAUGUGACAUCAGACAAUCCAGCCCUUGGUGGGUCACAUCCUGGAUGUCCCCACCUGGUGCCACUGGGUCCAGGCAGUAUGGAGGUGAUCUGGAUUUGCUCCUGCGAUGGGAUUCACCUCCCAAAAAGUGGAUGUCAGUUUGAUGUUAUCGCCUACUCAGCAAGUAAGUCCCUUUAUUGA
rnacentral:lncRNA from 1 species